GAAAUGCGAUAAGUAAUGUGAAUUGCAGAAUUCAGUGAAUCAUCGAAUCUUUGAACGCACAUUGCGCCCCCUGGUAUUCCGGGGGGCAUGCCUGUUCGAGCGUCAUUACAACCAUCAAGCCCUGCUUGGUAAUGGGUCAAACCCUCUUGGGGGUCGGCUCCAAAGUCAUUGGCGGUGCCCCUUGGACUCCGAGCGUAGUAGUAAUAUCUCGCUUUCCGAGCUCAAAGAGGCCCUUGCCCAAACCCAUAUAUUCUAAAUGUUGACCUCGGAUCAGGUAGGGAUACCCGCUGAACUUAA
rnacentral:misc_RNA from 1 species